rnacentral:tmRNA from 1 species
GGGGCUGACCGGUUUUGACAGCGAGAUCAGUGGCCUUGUAAGCAUGUCGAGCGCUGUGUAUCCGGCUCGUAAAUACCGAUACUCAACCAACAAAAGGCGAAUCUAACUUCGCGCUGGCUGCCUAAUCUAGGAUUAGCAGUAAGCUGUCUCGUGUGGGCCCGGCCCGUUGGCACGCACAUAGAGGCAUCAUAAGAUCGGGAUGGUCUGUCUGAGGUCCCGGCAGAUAGAUGAGAUAAAGGGAAUAAGGUUCGGAUAGGUUGUGUUCCGCCGGUCCGAUCCCGACAAUCAAGGAAACACUAAGCAUGUAGAAAGCCUGGUUCCUGCUUGUUUGGACGCGGGUUCGACUCCCGCCAGCUCCACAA